rnacentral:lncRNA from 1 species
UAUAAGCUUUUUAACUUUAAAAAACAAAACCUAUCUCUAGACAGAAGAAUCACAAUGUCAUUUUCCAAACUCACUAUCUUUUGUGUCAUCCUUAUUUCCUUGGCUAGCCUUCAUGAAUGUAAGUUAUAUAUAUAAGUUUGGUUUUAUUGUUCAUUGUUUAUCAUAACCACCUUUAUAAUCACAAUUAAAUGCUCCAAAAUCGUUUCUAAUGAUAUUUUUUUAUAAUAUAUAUAGGUAAUUUCUUUAAAGACCUUACCAAACCACCUAUAAAAGAUCCAUGCUAUAGAUCAAAUAAUAACAAAUAUUGCUGUAAGGAUUUGCGUCUGCAUCAUUCGUACGCAUGCUCUCCCACCUUAGCAGAAUGUAGGAAAAAUAUUAACAUAAAUUUUUGUAAUCCUUAUGCAAAGAAGAACUAAGAACUUUGACGAAUUAAUUUCAUACAUUUACUCAUAACUCAAGUUGUAAAAUUUAAUCUGAAUUUACCAUAUACGAUUAUGUAAUGCAAA